CAGUAGCCACGGUAAUACGAGGGGGGCAAGCGUUGUUCGGAAUUAUUGGGCGUAAAGGGUGCGUAGGCGGCUUGACAAGUCUUGUGUGAAAUCUAUGGGCUCAACCCAUAGUCUGCACGGGAAACUGUCGGGCUUGAGAAUGGGAGAGGUGAGUGGAAUUUCCGGUGUAGCGGUGAAAUGCGUAGAUAUCGGAAGGAACACCUGUGGCGAAAGCGGCUCACUGGACCAUUUCUGACGCUGAUGCACGAAAGCUAGGGGAGCAAACAGGAUUAGAUACCCCCGUAGUCCCUGUCUCUUAUAC
rnacentral:rRNA from 1 species